GAUGAACGCUGGCGGCGUGCCUAAUACAUGCAAGUCGAGCGAAUGGAUUAAGAGCUUGCUCUUAUGAAGUUAGCGGCGGACGGGUGAGUAACACGUGGGUAACCUGCCCAUAAGACUGGGAUAACUCCGGGAAACCGGGGCUAAUACCGGAUAAUAUUUUGAACUGCAUGGUUCAAAAUUGAAAGGCGGCUUCGGCUGUCACUUAUGGAUGGACCCGCGUCGCAUUAGCUAGUUGGUGAGGUAACGGCUCACCAAGGCAACGAUGCGUAGCCGAGCUGAGAGGGUGAUCGGCCACACUGGGACUGAGACACGGCCCAGACUCCUACGGGAGGCAGCAGUAGGGAAUCUUCCGCAAUGGACGAAAGUCUGACGGAGCAACGCCGCGUGAGCGAUGAAGGCUUUCGGGUCGUAAAACUCUGUUGUUAGGGAAGAACAAGUGCUAGUUGAAUAAGCUGGCACCUUGACGGUACCUAACCAGAAAGCCACGGCUAACUACGUGCCAGCAGCCGCAGUAA
rnacentral:rRNA from 1 species